rnacentral:rRNA from 1 species
UACGGAGGAUCCAAGCGUUAUCCGGAUUCAUUGGGUUUAAAGGGUGCGUAGGCGGACUGAUAAGUCAGCGGUGAAAUCUCUCGGCUCAACCGAGAAACUGCCGUUGAUACUGUUAGUCUUGAAUGCAGAUGAUGUGGGCGGAAUAUGACAUGUAGUGGUGAAAUACUUAGAUAUGUCAUAGAACACCGAUUGCGAAGGCAGCUCACAAAACUGUGAUUGACGCUGAUGCACGAAAGCGUGGGGAGCAAACAGG